UGGGGAAUUGUUCGCAAUGGGCGCAAGCCUGACGACGCAACGCCGCGUGGAGGAUGAAGGUCUUCGGAUUGUAAACUCCUGUUGACCGGGAAGAAUGGGUCCUGACCUAACACGUCGGGGCAAUGACGGUACCGGUUGAGGAAGCCACGGCUAACUCUGUGCCAGCAGCCGCGGUAAUACAGAGGUGGCAAGCGUUGUUCGGAAUUACUGGGCGUAAAGGGCGCGUAGGCGGCCGCCUAAGUCAGACGUGAAAUCCCCAGGCUUAACUUGGGAACUGCGUCUGAUACUGGGUGGCUUGAGUUCGGGAGAGGAAUGUGGAAUUCCAGGUGUAGCGGUGAAAUGCGUAGAUAUCUGGAGGAACACCGGUGGCGAAGGCGGCAUUCUGGACCGAAACUGACGCUGAGGCGCGAAAGCCAGGGGAGCAAA
rnacentral:rRNA from 1 species